CACGUAGGCACCAAGCGUUGUCCGGAUUUAUUGGGCGUAAAGAGCUCGUAGGCGGUUUGUCGCGUCGGCCGUGAAAUCUCCACGCUUAACGUGGAGCGUGCGGUCGAUACGGGCAGACCUGAGUUCGGUAGGGGAGACUGGAAUUCCUGGUGUAGCGGUGAAAUGCGCAGAUAUCAGGAGGAACACCGGUGGCGAAGGCGGGUCUCUGGGCCGAUACUGACGCUGAGGAGCGAAAGCGUGGGGAGCGAACAGG
rnacentral:rRNA from 1 species